rnacentral:rRNA from 1 species
UGAUUAGAUACCCCACUAUGCUUAGACGUUAACAUGACACCCUUCCCACAUCGGUGCCCGCCAGAGAAUUACUAGCGAAAAGCUUAAAACUCAAAGGACUUGGCGGUGCUCCAUCCCGACCUAGAGGAGCCUGUUCUAGUAC